rnacentral:sRNA from 1 species
CUUCCCUAAACGGUUCAUCACAAACCCCAGGACUGAAGAGAUUCAAUCGCUGUACACCUGUAUGGGGUGUGUGUGUGUGUGUGUGUGUGUGUGUGUGUGUGUGUGUGGUGUGUGUGUCAGUUUUGGAGCAAUAGGCCAAGUGACAGGGAUGGAAUGGUAGAGCAGAGUAGUUCAAGUUAUGGUAAUCAGGAAGCGGCGAGAGAAGGUGUCAGUCCCCAUGGCUAGCCUUCUCAUUCUUUAUCUUUUAAUGUAUGAAGACCCCCCCUACCAGGCCAUCAGAUGGUGCUACCCAUGUACAGGAUGGGUCUGCCCCCACUCCACCGUCUAAUUAGAUAAACCUUCAGAAAAGCUGGCCAACAACACAAAAGGUUCCUUGGUGUCCUAAGUGGUUCUAAAUCCAACCAACAGAAAAGAUCAACCAUCAUCCUCAAGUGCGUUAUAAAGUGCACAGUACAGAGAAAACCUUGAAGGGUUAAAGUGACAGUUAAACUGAAGGUUUUCCAAGUCUUGCCUUGACGGAAUGCUGAUAACAGAAUCACCAGCUCCGAGGACAGUAAUAACGGAGAAGCACCAGUGGCUCUCUUUGUUCUCCAGAAUUAAAACGAAAAUAGAAAGAGUGACACAGGACCCAACUGAGCCUCUCACCCAGGUCCACUCUGCUCUUCACAAGGACUUGGGCCAAUAAACCCUCUCUGCUCCUUUGUUUCUCCUAAAA